UUCUGUUGGUGGAGGGAGGUGAUGGAUUAGGAACUGCCGGAGGUGGCUUACAUGUUUGUUCGGAGGCGACGAGCGGCUGGACAAGAAGGAUUGGGAAGGCGUCGGUGGAACGAGAAGGCAACCCCAAUAGGAAAACAGCGCUGGAGAUAUCGAUGAGGGCUUACAUAUCAAAAAGGGAUGGGAAUGUUGUGAACCCUGCUGUUGGCACGGAAUUUGAUUCGCUCGAUGAGGCGUAUCAGUUUUACAACCUGUACUCCAGGGAAGUUGGCUUCGGAAUAAGAUUUGCAAAAAGUAGAUUGAAUGUUAACAGACGAAAGUGUAUGCAAGAGAUUGUCUGCGGCUGUGCAAGUAAACCGCUUAGGGAGAACACUAGGUCAACGAGGUGCGGGUGCACCGCUAGGAUAAGGUUAUUGCGGUCAUCAGACAAUGGAUGGUAUAUCAGCGAGCACCGGGAU